AUUGAACGCUGGCGGCAUGCCUAACACAUGCAAGUCGAACGGAAUAUGGUAGUUUGCUCCGGGAUGUAGCGGAGGGGGGGUGAACAAUUCCUAAGACUCCCCCUGGUCGGGGGAGAUCACGUCCAAAAACGGGCGAUAACCGCUCAUCCCCCAUGUUGGAGAAGCGGGGGGGUCAACGUACCACUCGCUCUUAGAUGAGCCUAGCUCGGAAUCGGUAGGUGGUGGGGUAAAUGCCUCCCAAGGCGACGAUCUGUAACUGGUCUGAGAGGAUGAUCAGUCACACUGGGACUGAGACACGGUCCAGACUCCUACGGGAGGCAGCAGUGGGGAAUAUUGGACAAUGGGCGAAAGCCUGAUCCAGCCAUGCCGCGUGCGGGAAGAAGGUCUUCGGGUUGUAAAGGACUUUUAGUUGGGAGGAAAGGCAUUUUGUUAAUACAGGACGGUAUUGACGUUACCAUAAGAAUAAGCACCGGCUAACUUCGUG
rnacentral:rRNA from 1 species